rnacentral:rRNA from 1 species
UACAGAGGUCCCAAGCGUUGUUCGGAUUCACUGGGCGUAAAGGGUGCGUAGGAGGCUGGGAAAGUCGGAUGUGAAAUCUCACCGCUUAACGGUGAAACUGCAUUCGAUACUACUCGGCUAGAGGAUCGGAGGGGAGAGCAGAAUUCUUGGUGUAGCGGUGAAAUGCGUAGAUAUCAAGAGGAACACCGGUGGCGAAGGCGGCAUCCUGGACCGGCAUUGACGCUGAGGCGCGAAAGCCAGGGGAGCAAACGGG